rnacentral:lncRNA from 1 species
AGAUGAAUAGUUUUUCACCGUUGUAAUUUUUUUUUGUCGACCAAAAGACGGCAUGAACGUCGAAGGAGUCUCCUUCCUCCGAGCCCAACGCGGCGGCGCUCGCUACCUCUGCUCCUGGUCGGCCUCGCCUACUGCGACGGCGGCGGCGGCGUGGCACCGGCACGGAGGAGGGUUCCGGCUGCACAAGGCGCGCGGGCAGCAUCUCCUCACCAACCCGCGCGUCCUCGACGCCAUCGUCGCGCACGCCGCGCUCCGCUCCGCCCGGUCGACGCCGUCACAGCCCUCGCCGCCGGCCUCGGCCUCGCGCACAAGCUCACGGUGACCACGGGCGACUCCAUGGCGAUCGAGCUCCCCAAGUUCGACAUCUGCGUCGCCAGCAUCCCAUACGGGAUCUCGUCGCCACUGACCGCGAAGCUGCUGAUCGGCUCCCACCGGUUCAGGGCGCUCCUCGCCACCAACGCGCGCCUGGUCGCCGACGUGCGGCUGCUCAUGGACGUGAGCAGGCCGGAGUUCUCCUCCCUCGUCGAGAUCCGCCCCAAGCAGACCCGGCCCAAGGAGUUCGCCGCCGGCGUCGAGCUCCACGAGUGGCUCGCGUUCACGCGCGCGUGCACCGGACAGCACAAGCUCCAGCGGCAGCAUCAGCCGCCGCCCAAGAAGAAGAAGAGCAAGAAGAAGAGGAAGACACUCGGCGUCCUCUUCAAGUAGGACGAGAU